rnacentral:rRNA from 1 species
UACGAAGGGGGCUAGCGUUGCUCGGAAUCACUGGGCGUAAAGGGUGCGUAGGCGGGUCUUUAAGUCAGGGGUGAAAUCCUGGAGCUCAACUCCAGAACUGCCUUUGAUACUGAAGAUCUUGAGUUCGGGAGAGGUGAGUGGAACUGCGAGUGUAGAGGUGAAAUUCGUAGAUAUUCGCAAGAACACCAGUGGCGAAGGCGGCCUGCUGGGCAGUUGCUGACACUGAGGCGCGACAGCGUGGGGAGCAAACAGG